GACGGGGGAUGCGAGCGUUAUCCGGAAUGAUUGGGCGUAAAGGGUCCGCAGGUGGCCCGGUCAGUCCGCUGUCAAAGCCUGGGGCUCAACCCUGGAGAGGCGGCGGAGACCACCGGGCUUGAGUCCGGUAGGGGCAGAGGGAAUUCCCGGUGUAGCGGUGAAAUGCGUAGAGAUCGGGAAGAACAUCGGUGGCGAAAGCGCUCUACUGGACCGCAACUGACACUCAGGGACGAAAGCUAGGGGAGCGAAUGGG
rnacentral:rRNA from 1 species